UAUUUGUUUACACACUACUCUUAGCGUUGCCACCUGGCCGGUAUUUAUUUGAGGCUGUCUGGCCAGUGCCGAUAUUGCAGUAAUACUGGCAAUACAAAUGCCGGUAUUUUUCUCAGUAUAAACAGAGAUUACUCUGCAAUACUAUCACCGGUCAGUAGGGGUCGCUGUGUGUGUGGAGAGAGGCAGGGAUAGGAAGUUACAGCAUAUACCUGCAUUUCUCUACUCACUGAUCCACGGGGGAGCAGCUACACAGCACAGAAAGUCCAAACAGCAGCUUCCAGUCUGCAGAGACAGCUUACAGCUCAGGGAAGUGAGGGAUGGGGUAAAGGCUGCAGGGAGACAUGGGGACACUGAG